rnacentral:rRNA from 1 species
UGUCUGGUGGGUAGUUUGACUGGGGCGGUCUCCUCCUAAAGAGUAACGGAGGAGCACGAAGGUUGGCUAAUCCUGGUCGGACAUCAGGAGGUUAGUGCAAUGGCAUAAGCCAGCUUGACUGCGAGCGUGACGGCGCGAGCAGGUGCGAAAGCAGGUCAUAGUGAUCCGGUGGUUCUGAAUGGAAGGGCCAUCGCUCAACGGAUAAAAGGUACUCCGGGGAUAACAGGCUGAUACCGCCCAAGAGUUCAUAUCGACGGCGGUGUUUGGCACCUCGAUGUCGGCUCAUCACAUCCUGGGGCUGAAGUAGGUCCCAAGGGUAUGGCUGUUCGCCAUUUAAAGUGGUACGCGAGCUGGGUUUAGAACGUCGUGAGACAGUUCGGUCCCUAUCUGCCGUGGGCGCUGGAGAACUGAGGGGGGCUGCUCCUAGUACGAGAGGACCGGAGUGGACGCAUCACUGGUGUUCGGGUUGUCAUGCCAAUGGCACUGCCCGGUAGCUAAAUGCGGAAGAGAUAAGUGCUGAAAGCAUCUAAGCACGAAACUUGCCCCGAGAUGAGUUCUCCCUGAGACUUAGAGUCUCCUGAAGGAACGUUGAAGACGACGACGUUGAUAGGCCGGGUGUGUAAGCGCAGCGAUGCGUUGAGCUAACCGGUACUAAUGAACCGUGAGGCUUAACCUU